AGCAGCCGCGGUAAUUCCAGCUCCAAUAGCGUAUAUUAAAGUUGUUGCAGUUAAAAAGCUCGUAGUUGAAUUUCGGGAUCAAUAUAUCGGUCGUGCCUUUGGUACGUACUGGUAUCAUUGAUUUCUCCUUUCUGACGAAUCAUGAUGUCAUUAAUUUGGUGUUAUGAGGAGUUAGGACUGUUACUUUGAAAAAAAUUAGAGUGUUUAAAGCAGGCAUUAGCUUGAAUACAUUAGCAUGGAAUAAUGAAAUAGGACGUUUGACCCUAUUUUGUUGGUUUUUAGGAUCGACGUAAUGAUUAAUAGGGAUAGUUGGGGGGCAUUAGUAUUCAAUUGUCAGAGGUGAAAUUCUUGGAUUUAUUGAAGACUAACUACUGCGAAAGCAUUUUGCCAAGGAUGUUUUCAUUAAUCAAGAACGAAAGUUAGGGGAUCGAAGACGAUCAGAUACCGUCGUAGUCUUAACCAUAAACUAUGCCGACUAGGGAUCGGAUGAUGUUAAUUUUUUUCAAUGACUCAUUCGGCG
rnacentral:rRNA from 1 species